GAAAUCUAAACUUCACAUCAACCAUGCAAGUGGAUCCACCUUCUGCUCCUGCACCUCCUCCUCUUGUUACUCCUGCUGUUCCUCCUCCUGCACCUCCUGUUGAAAGAAGUAACUUUGAACAAAGCAGUAGUCACUUGGGUGCGAAUCCAUUUGCUUCGAGUUCGAUGGCCAACAGACUUCUAAUGCACAUAAUGAACGCAAUGAAGCUCAAGAUUCAAGACAAGAAGAAGGUGGACUUGGGAGAAAGUGUAAGCAAAGUCACAUUGAAUCUGCUCUUGAGGGAUAUGUGGAGUACAAAAAGAGCCAAACCAGCAAAACUUUGCAAGCUCUUGAAGAAAGGAAAAGGCAUGACAAAGAAUUUUCAGUUGAGAACUGUGUUGAUCAAGUGGAUGCUAUGAUUGAAUUAACCAAUGAGGAGAAGUCAUAUGCUUUGGAUGUCUUUGAGUCUGAGACACACGGGAAGAUAUUCAUUACAACCAAGAAUCCUAAUGUUCAAUUAAUGUGGCUAAAGCGAAAAAUCAGGUAUGUUUCUUUGAAUAUGCUCAGUGUAUGGUUCAUGAAAAACUUACUAGUUUCAUCAUGUCUAACCAUGUAAAAUUUUGUUUUGUGUGAACCUUCUGUUGCUGACAUGGCUAAAUUAUUUCAACUUUUUUUGUUAAUUGCAGAGUCCUGAUGGGAAGCACUACAUGAUCCGAGAGUUAGUCGCCAAGAUCCCAAAGGUACUUGUCUCUUUGAAUAUGCUCAGUGUAUGUUCUUUGAAUAUUCUUGAAUAUUGAAUAUUGAACACAUGUCAUCUCUGAUCUGUGUUUGGCAUCUCUUUGGGUUCUUGUUUCAUGUUUCUGUAUCAAUUUAUAUUUCAUGAGACGAACCUACACCAUAUUUUUAAAUAUAAUGCCAGAUGCAGCAAUUAGAAGUUACCUAGAUAUUGCUAGGUAUUGUUGAUGAAAUAUGCAGAAUUAUGAAUUCCCGUAUGUCCUUAAUAAAUUCUAGGAAUGGGGAUAAAUUAGUACAACAGAAAUAAUUCUAGAAAUGCAAAUAAUUUGGUAUGCUAAACAAUGGUAGCAAUAUGGACAGCUUGAUAAACCUGAGAGGAGUUCUGGUACUACCGCACCUUGGACCAGUCUGUGUCCUGUAACUGAAUGCUAUCUCGUUGAUAUCUUAUAUCCUGCGGGACUACAAAUAUGCAAGUUUUUACCAUGAUACAUUUGGCAUUGCUAAUCACUGUCAUAACUGAAUGCUAUCUUGUUGAGCUCAGGAAGCUGAAGAAUCACUUCCCUAGAUGAAAGAAAGACUACAAAUCUGUGUUAAGGAGGAGCUCAGGAAGCUGAAGAAUCACUUCCAUAUGUUUGAAUGCUCUGUUUCUACUAUGUGCUGUAGUCGUAAACCUAUAUGUAUUGUAGUAGUAACUGUACAGCACAUAUGUGCUGUAGUCUCGGUCAAACAGGGAAAUAUUGUGCGGUCGCAAAUACUGUUGCAGAAUGUUGUUGACUCCGUCUAUUUCUUGGUAAGCUAGUUGUGUCCUUUUUAUAUGGUCUCUAGUUGUUGACAAAUAUUGUGCUGUAGUCGUAAAGCAGGGAAGACAAUAUUUGUUGUUGGCAAAUAUUGUGCUGUAGUCAUAAAACUUUGCAAUUUUCUAAUUUUCCUUUGUUUUUUUUCUUUGGUGCCAAACAGCAACGGGGUAGGGGGCAGAGGGAACUCACGGGGAAUAAAUUAGCCAAGAAAAUCCCCGUCGGUGAUUUAAUACGCUGGAUUAAUAAUCCUUUGCUUCCAAACUAGACCUCGUGGAAGAGAUGAGGGGGUAAUAUGGACUUCUUUCUUCAGUGAACAGAGGGAAUAAAAGGUUACUAGUUUAGCACUUGACAGGCAACACGCAACACCACGAGUGAAAUUGUAGACUAGUCCAAGGGGGAUAGCAACAGGUUGAGAAUGGCGCUUGCCUCUUCUGGCCGGGGAUGUGUCGCAGAUCUCGCGCUCGCCGCCUUGCCGGAGGUGUGGGUGCUCGCCGCCUUGCUGGAGUCUCGGCUGCUGCUGCUGCUGCCCGUCGGGGUGGCGGGGCGGAGCGCCAGAUUCGGCGAGGCGCCGGUGGAUCCGCGGACGGGGGCGCCGCGCGACGACGGCGAGCCCCUGGCGGCGGCGGCGCGGUGGGAGGAGACGAGGGUUUCGGCCGACGCGUAAAAACCGGUGUGGGCUUCGGGCUAUCGGUCAGAAC
rnacentral:lncRNA from 1 species